GGACUACAAGGGUAUCUAAUCCUGUUCGCUCCCCACGCUUUCGCUCCUCAGCGUCAGUGACGGCCCAGAGACCUGCCUUCGCCAUUGGUGUUCUUCCCGAUAUCUACACAUUCCACCGUUACACCGGGAAUUCCAGUCUCCCCUACCGCACUCAAGCCCGCCCGUACCCGGCGCGGAUCCACCGUUAAGCGAUGGACUUUCACACCGGACGCGACGAACCGCCUACGAGCCCUUUACGCCCAAUAAUUCCGGAUAACGCUUGCACCCUACGUAUUACCGCGGCUGCUGGCACGUAGUUAGCCGGUGCUUAUUCGAAAGGUACACUCACCCCGAAGGGCUUGCUCCCAGUCAAAAGCGGUUUACAACCCGAAGGCCGUCAUCCCGCACGCGGCGUCGCUGC
rnacentral:misc_RNA from 1 species